CGGCCCGGACGAUAGCUGCCUUCGGGUAGAGGAAAGUCCAUGCUCGCACUCCCUGCGAUGGGAGUAGUGAUUGCGCUAAGGGAAUCAAUAACCUUAGGUAAGGAGGAGUCCUUAACGGCGGUGGAAGCUCUCUCGUAGAGACGAAACCCCAAGGUGCCACAGAGACGAGCUUGGCGGCGACGCCAAGAUGAAACGCGGUAAACCCCACAAGCGAGAAACCCAAAAUUGGUAGGGGAAACCAUCAAUCCGAAUUGAAGGGGAGAUGGUCGGCUUCGGCUGAGAUAAAUUAUCGUCCUCGACAGAACAUGGCUUACAGGG
rnacentral:RNase_P_RNA from 1 species